rnacentral:lncRNA from 1 species
GCAGGUGUUAGGAAUCGCGUUGGGGAAUUCAGCCAAAAAUAAGGUCCCCGUGGAAAGGCUGCAGGGAGCCUUGGCCACAGGGAGAAUUACAGGAAAACCUCAACCUGGACAGACCACGCUUGGGGCUCUUCAAGCACGGAAAAGAAUCCUUGCCGGGCAGUUCCAGAGAUGGGUCCCCUGAGGAGCCUGCAGAGCUAUUUCAGCCACACCAGUGUCACCUGAAUGGAUUUCUGAAACUCUUCUCUGGCAACUUCCAGUAGUUUCCAAGCAACCCAGAAGAACAGGUCUCAUGACUUUAGAGGACUCAUCUUUUUUUUUUUUUUUUUUCCUGGAAAAGCAUAGUCCCUGAUUUGAUAUCCAGUCUCAUUCACAACCUUGCACUGUGUCCUUGGGCCAAAGCUUUGGGCCCACUGAGGAAAAUCAAAAGAAUGAGCUGCCACCAAUUCCCAAAGAUACAUCUCCAAGAGGAAGUGGGGCAGCAGCACCGCCACCGGAACAAGUGUGGGUCUCUCAAGGCUCCAUGAUCUCCAGGCACACGUUCACGAUGCACUGGAUCUCCAGC